rnacentral:rRNA from 1 species
CGGGUGAGUAAUACAUAAGUAACCUGCCCUAGACAGGGGGAUAACUAUUGGAAACGAUAGCUAAGACCGCAUAGGUACGGACACUGCAUGGUGACCGUAUUAAAAGUGCCUCAAAGCACUGGUAGAGGAUGGACUUAUGGCGCAUUAGCUGGUUGGCGGGGUAACGGCCCACCAAGGCGACGAUGCGUAGCCGACCUGAGAGGGUGACCGGCCACACCGGGACUGAGACACGGCCCAG